UACGGGGGGGGCAAGCGUUGUUCGGAAUUACUGGGCGUAAAGGGCUCGUAGGCGGCCAACUAAGUCGGAUGUGAAAUCCCCAGGCUUAACCUGGGAACUGCAUCCGAUACUGGAUGGCUUGAAUUCGGGAGAGGGAUGCAGAAUUCCAGGUGUAGCGGUGAAAUGCGUAGAUAUCUGGAGGAAUACCGGUGGCGAAGGCGGCAUCCUGGACCGACAUUGACGCUGAACGGCGAAAGCUAGGGGAGCGAAACGGG
rnacentral:rRNA from 1 species